rnacentral:rRNA from 1 species
ACUAGCAGUAAGAGUUUGAUCAUGGCUCAGAACGAACGCUGGCGGCAUGCCUAACACAUGCAAGUCGAACGAGACCUUCGGGUCUAGUGGCGCACGGGUGCGUAACGCGUGGGAAUCUGCCCUUGGGUUCGGGAUAACAGUUGGAAACGACUGCUAAUACCGGAUGAUGACUUCGGUCCAAAGAUUUAUCGCCCAGGGAUGAGCCCGCGUAGGAUUAGCUUGUUGGUGAGGUAAAAGACUCACCAAGGCGACGAUCCUUAGCUGGUCUGAGAGGAUGAUCAGCCACACUGGGACUGAGACACGGCCCAGACUCCUACGGGAGGCAGCAGUGGGGAAUAUUGGACAAUGGGCGAAAGCCUGAUCCAGCAAUGCCGCGUGAGUGAUGAAGGCCUUAGGGUUGUAAAGCUCUUUUACCCGGGAAGAUAAUGACUGUACCGGGAGAAUAAGCCCCGGCUAACUCCGUGCCAGCCGCCGCGGUAAUUC